UUUUAUACAAGCUCUUUUACUGCUUACUGAUUUCUUUUUCCACCUUAUUAAGAAAAAAAAGGAGAGGUGGCAUUGGUGGCAAAUCUUAUUGAACCUGGCUACACACUCGAACUAUCAUUCCUUCUUCUAUCAGUUAGUUGGUUAGUAUGAUGAAUUCCUUGUAGGAUGUAACUAUCAAGACUAGACCAUGUUUACAUUUAGCUAGUUUUUGUUUGAAGCACUAAUGAAGUAAAUAUAAUAAUAAAUUUAUUAAGGGAUUGCAAUGGGGUUAAUUCAGUGUGGGUUUUGCUAAAAUCGAACCUGCCCCAAAUUUUUUAAAAAAUUAGUUUUCUUUACACUGUAUGGGUGUACUAUAAAAUCCACCCUGCCUUAUCCCAAGUAAAUUAAAAGAUUUAGUGAGAUACAAAUGAAUGCUCUCAAGCGAGUGGUGAGCCACAAAGAAGAAGAUGUUGUGAUGAGGGAGUGAAGCCAAUAAUUAGGGAAGUUAUAACUUACAUAUAAGAAAGGUGUUAAUUGGGUAUAAGGAAAAUCAGGGGUUAAGUGAGUGAGGAGAAAAUUUGGUAUGUGGUAAGGGCAUAUUCUGUCUAAUUUUAGGAAACUGUAGUUUGGGAAUGAUAAACCAGGUGGGUAAUUAGCAAGAUUAAGGGUGAUCAUUUGGGAAACAAAAAACAGAAUUGAGCAUAUUGGCAGAGGGAUGAAACUUGUCAAGAUAUGGGUAGGGUAAGAGUCAAGUCAUAGGCUUAUGUGAAUUCUGUUAACAUAUAAUGAAGUUAAAAAAAUAUUACUAAAAAUUUAUUCCCCAAACAGGCGAAAGUGUGUGGAAAUUAUCCUACACUUAAUGAUGGAUAUGUCUGGCUUAUUUUGAUUGAAAAGAGCCUCAAUUUCUAACUUAACCUGAGAGCUGACUGAAGACAUGAAUCAAUUCACUUAUGCUCCUUUGAUUUGAUUUCCACUUGAACUUUCAUUUGGGCUCAACUUUUGUCAUUUUAUAUGAGAUUUUCACUAUUUCCUAGUUAAGUAUAUGUUAAUUUUUUUAAUGAAUUCGAUAAAAAAAAUCUUGAUUUGUUUUAAAGUUAUGCAUUUUUUGUAUGUAUUUUCUUGUUUGAUGUCACAUUCAUUAGACAACACUUAGUUGUUGUAGGUGACUGAUCUAGCCAUCAAGAACUCAUAAGAAGCUUUCAUGAUGGAGAUUCGGGCAGCCAGAACGUUAAUUAAAAUGCAUGCUUUGAUUUGCUUUGAUUUGGAAUAAUUAUACUCAUUGUUUCUUUUUAUUUCAGGCAUUUGGUAUCGUUUCUAUUCACACAUUAGAUAAGAAAUAUUGAUAUUUUGAGACAUGUAGUUAUUUUAGUAUGUCAGUUUAUCAUAUUUCAUGAACUAGUAGUUCAUAGAAUGCGUGAGAUAAAUUAUAAGUUUACUCAUUAAUUAUGACUAGAG
rnacentral:lncRNA from 1 species